UGCUUAACACAUGCAAGUCGAACGGUAACAUUACUAGCUUGCUAGUAGAUGACGAGUGGCGGACGGGUGAGUAACGCGUAGGGAUCUGCCUUGGUGUGGGGGAUAGCCCGGAGAAAUUCGGAUUAAUACCGCAUACGCCCCAUGGGGGAAAGAGUGCCACUUCAUGAAAGCAUUCGCACCGAGAUGAACCUGCGUUGGAUUAGCUAGUUGGUAGGGUAAAGGCCUACCAAGGCGACGAUCCAUAGCUGGUCUGAGAGGAUGAUCAGCCACACUGGGACUGAGACACGGCCCAGACUCCUACGGGAGGCAGCAGUGGGGAAUAUUGCACAAUGGGCGCAAGCCUGAUGCAGCAAUACCGCGUGUGUGAAGAAGGCCUGAGGGUUGUAAAGCACUUUCAGUGGGGAGGAAAAGCAGCGUGUUAAUAGCACGAUGCCGUGACGUUACCCACAGAAGAAGGACCGGCUAACUCCGUGCCAGCAGCCGCGGUAAUACGGAGGGUCCAAGCGUUAAUCGGAAUUACUGGGCGUAAAGCGUGCGUAGGUGGCCAUUUAAGUCGGAUGUGAAAGCCCAGGGCUCAACCUUGGAACUGCAUACGAUACUGGGUGGCUAGAGUGUAAUAGAGGGUAGUGGAAUUUCCGGUGUAGCGGUGAAAUGCGUAGAGAUCGGAAGGAACAUCAGUGGCGAAGGCGACUACCUGGAUUAACACUGACACUGAGGCACGAAAGCGUGGGUAGCAAACAGGAUUAGAUACCCUGGUAGUCCACGCCGUAAACGAUGUCAACUAGCCGUUGGAAGACUUGAUCUUUUAGUGGCGCAGCUAACGCGAUAAGUUGACCGCCUGGGGAGUACGGUC
rnacentral:rRNA from 1 species